rnacentral:rRNA from 1 species
GAAAAGCUUCUAAACUUAUGAUUAUAUGAUCSGUACCCCAACCCGACACAGGUGGUCAGGUAGAGAAUACUAAGGCGCUUGAGAGAACUCGGGUGAAGGAACUCGGCAAAAUUGUCCGGUAACUUCGGAAGAAGGUACGCCUCUGUUUGUGAACACUUCGCGUGGUAAGCAAAUGAAGGCCGCAGUGACCAGGUGGCUGGGACUGUUUAUUAAAAACACAGCACUGUGCAAACUCGUAAGAGGACGUAUAGGGUGUGACACCUGCCCGGUGCCGGAAGGUUAAUUGAUGGGGUUAGUUUUCGGUCGAAGCUCUUGAUCGAAGCCCCGGUAAACG